AUUAAAUAAUAAGCAUGCUUUGAAGCAUGCACAAGAAGAGAUAAACCUAAAAGUUGGCAGAGAGAGAUGGGUUGAAGACACUGAUAUCGAAAACCUGACUUAUCUCCAAGCCAUUGUCAAGGAAACCCUACGUCUAUAUCCUCCAGGUCCAUUCUCAGUCCCACAUGAAGCAAUGGAAGAUUGCCAAGUUUGUGGCCUUCACAUUCCAAAGGGCACACGUUUAUUUGUCAAUUUGUGGAAAUUGCACAGAGACCCAACUGUGUGGUCAGAGCCCGAAGUGUUUUCUCCAGAUAGGUUUGAUGCCUCUGGUCAGCAUUUUGAGUUCAUUCCAUUUGGGUCUGGAAGAAGAUCUUGUCCAGGUCUCACAUUUGCAAUGCAAGUUAUCCACUUGAAUCUUGGUAGAUUGAUUCAAGGAUUUGAAUUGGCUACUCCAUUGGACAUGUCUGUGGACAUGACUGAAGGACUAGGCGUUACUUUGCCAAAGGCAACUUCACUUGAAGUUGUGCUAACUCCACGCUUGCCCAUUGAAUUCUAUGAAAGAUAGGCAUUGGGUUGUGAUUAUAAUUUAUAUGCCAUGUAAUUGUUGACUCUUAAUGUCGUAUUAGUUUGCGAACGAUAUUUGUAUCUUUUCAUGUGAAAACCAUCAAUGAAUGUGGGUCCCAAGGUAAGAUAUACGCAACCGUUUCAUAAAACUCUUUUGUUGACUCUUAAUGUCGUAUUAGUAAUUGAUGCUAUAAAAACACUUUAAUAGCAUUUAAGAAGAAUAAAAAAGGAUAUUAAUUGGAUGCUAUAGAAACUACUUUUUCUAGCAGUUGUGGAAAAAGCAGUCAUCUACUGAAUUUUCAAACCACAUGGAUUGAAAAACGCCAAUAUAGUCAAAAUCAAAUAUCUUGUUGAAGAUGGGUAAGAGAAACUUAAGCCAAUACAAAAACAUUUGAAUGCUUAGUGGGGCCAACAACAGAGUUAUCACAUUUAAACUUGUGUGAUGAUACAACGAUUUCACCAUCAACAAACCAUGAACAAAUUGAAAGUUCAACUUUUAUGCACAACAUAUUUUGAGCACCUUCUUGUCACCAUAGCCAGCAGCGGCACAUCAUGGAUUUUCCUUCUCAUCUUCUGGCAAUUGCAGGGAUUUUACUCUUUGUUCUGUAUCUAUGGAGGGUAAAAAUCCAAAGUCACAAAACCAAGGGCGUCUUGACCCCACAACCAUCAGGUGCCCUGCCAAUCAUAGGACACCUCCACAAACUUGGAGGCAAAAACCCACUUUGCAGAACCCUAGCAUCCAUGGCUGACAAGUACGGUCCAAUCUUCACCAUACGGCUUGGCAAGCACCCUGCACUUGUGAUCAGCAACCAUGAUGCAGUCAAGGAAUGCUUCACUAAAAACGACAUCGUUUUCGCAGCGAGACCAAAGUCGGCACAUGGCAGGUACCUUGGUUACAAUUAUGCAGGUUUCGGGUUCUCACCAUACGGCACGUACUGGCGUAACAUGAGAAAAAUGGUCAUCGCUGAGUUGCUAUCUAGCCGCAGGCUUCAGACAUUAAAACAUGUCCAAAUCUCCGAGGUUGAUUCUUUUAUCAAGGGGUUGUACGAAAUUUGCAAAACAAAGGGGGGAAAUGGUCAAAGCAAGGUGGUGAUUAGCGAGUGGAUUGAGCACCUGACUUUGAAUGUAAUUACUCAAAUGAUUGCUGGGAAGAGGUAUUUUGAUUGGGGUAAAGUGGGAAAUGACUCAGAUAAUGAGGGAGAGAAUAAGAGGAUUCGGGAAAUCGUGAAGGAGUUUAUGCUUGUGUCUGGGAUGCCAGUCAUUUCUGAUAUGAUUGGGUAUCCGGAUUGGAUUGAUUUUCUGGGGCAAGUGAAGAAUAUGAAGCGUAUAGGGAAGGAGUUGGAUGCUCUAACGGCAAGUUGGAUUGAAGAACAUAAUAAUGCAAGGAAGGAGAUCGACUCAAGGGACAAGCUCGACUUCAUUGAUGUCAUGCUUUCUGUGAUUGAGGACAAUACUGUGCUUGGUCAUACUCGUGAAACCAUCAUCAAGGCAACAUCGCAGGUAUCUUCUUCUAACUGAGACUUUAUCUCCAGAUCCACAUCUCUUUAGGAUAUGUUGGUAUAUUCAUUACAACUUUACUUUGCUAAACAGAGGCUCAAAGUUUAUCCAAGUCAAAAUCAAUACAAACUUCAAAACCAAUUGAAUGUCAAUCUAAAUAUCUUAUCAUCUGCAUAUAGGAAGAAAUUAAGCUUAUUUAACAGAACAAGAGGCGGAAAUGAGAAUACUCAUAUAAGUAUACUUCACUUGCAAAGUUAAUUAACUGCGAAUUUGCUGCAACCAUAUAACAACUCCAAUUCACUUGUACUCUAAUCACACCAGAUAGAUUAUGCAAUACAAACAACAAAUCAUCAAAAAUUACUAAAAAUUAAACCUCCCACACCAAAUCCGAGUGCUGUAUAAGCAACUCUUACUCGUCUUGCUCCUGCUAACAAAAGAAGCAAAAUCAUUAGAAUUGACACAUGUACACAAAUAAUUCACUAAAAUCAAAAGUAAAAAACUUAUGCACACUUGUCAGAUUGUAAUUAUAUAUGAGAAAGAAUGACUCGUGACUUAUAAAGAAACAAGCAUUUUCCUCGUUAUGAUCCCUAACUGGAAGUACAUGUUUGAAAAUUGGGGCACUCCAUUUUGCUGUUCACCAUUUAUAAUUUUUUAUGUUGCAGAAUCUGAUCAUAGCUGGCUCAGAUACCACAGCAAUCAGCUUGAAGUGGAUCAUCUCUUUAUUAUUAAACAACAGGCAUGUUUUGAAGCAUGCACAAGAAGAGAUAAACCUAAAAGUUGGCACAGAGAGAUGGGUUGAAGACACUGAUAUCGAAAACCUAACUUACCUCCAAGCCAUUGUCAAGGAAACCCUACGUCUAUAUCCUCCAGGUCCACUCUCAGUCCCACAUGAAGCAAUGGAAGACUGCCAAGUUUGUGGCUUUCACAUUCCAAAGGGCACACGUUUAUUUGUCAAUUUGUGGAAAUUGCACAGAGACCCAA
rnacentral:lncRNA from 1 species